rnacentral:tRNA from 1 species
GGGUCGUUAGCUCAGUUGGUAGAGCAGUUGACUUUUAAUCAAUUGGUCGCAGGUUCGACUGAAUCGCCGGGAGCGAUUCAGGCUGAUGCGCCAGCAUCACCCGCAGGGCGAGGCCCCGGAUGGGCCGAGGCAUAUCCUGCACGACCCACCA